GGUAAAUAUAAGUCGGUCAAUAAAAUAUAAGGUAGGUCAGGCAAAUAUAAGGUAGGUCUGUCAAAUAUAAGCUAAGUAAGGUAAAUAUAAGUCGGUCAAUAAAAUAUAAGGUAGGUCAGGCAAAUAUAAGGUAGGUCAGGCAAAUAUAAGUCGGUCAAUAAAAUAUAAGGUAGGUCAGGCAAAUAUAAGGUAGGUCUGUCAAAUAUAAGCUAAGUAAGGUAAAUAUGAGUCGGUCAAUAAAAUAUAAGGUAGGUCAGGCAAAUAUAAGGUAGGUCAGGCAAAUAUAAGGUAGGUCAGGCAAAUAUAAGUCGGUCAAUAAAAUAUAAGGAAGUUCAGGCAAAUAUAAGGUAGGUCAGUCAAAUAUAAGCUAAGUAAGGUAAAUAUAAGUUGGUCAAUAAAAUAUAAGGUAGGUCAGGCAAAUAUAAGGUAGGUCAG